rnacentral:rRNA from 1 species
GGCCAGACUCCUACGGGAGGCAGCAGUGGGGGAUAUUGGACAAUGGGGGGAACCCUGAUCCAGCGACGCCGCGUGAGUGAAGAAGUAUUUCGGUAUGUAAAGCUCUAUCAGCAGGGAAGAAAAUGACGGUACCUGACUAAGAAGCCCCGGCUAACUACGUGCCAGCAGCCGCGGUAAUACGUAGGGGGCAAGCGUUAUCCGGAUUUACUGGGUGUAAAGGGAGCGUAGACGGCGAAGCAAGUCUGAAGUGAAAACCCAGGGCCCAACCCCCGGACUGCUCUGGAAACUAUUUGACUGGAGUGCAGGAGAGGUAAGCGGAAUUCCUAGUGUAGCGGUGAAAUGCGUAGAUAUUAGGAGGAACACCAGUGGCGAAGGCGGCUUACUGGACUGUAACUGACGUUGAGGCUCGAAAGCGUGGGGAGCAAACAGGAUUAGAUACCCUUGUAAG